rnacentral:rRNA from 1 species
GACGAGUCUCACAAACGUUAUUCGGAAUUACUGGGCUUAAAGGGUGCGUAGGCGGUGGAGUAAGUCGGAUGUGAAAUACCAUAGCUUAACUAUGGACUGACACUCGAUACUACUUUGCUAGAGUAAGACAGAGGUGAGUGGAACUGAGGGUGGAGCGGUGAAAUGCGUUGAUAUCCUCAGGAACACCGGUGGCGAAGGCGACUCACUGGGUCUUUACUGACGCUGAUGCACGAAAGCUAGGGUAGCAAACGGG